UGGUCAGCAACCACCAGAGCUCGCUGGACCUGCUGGGCAUGAUGGAGGUGCUGCCCGAGCGGUGCGUGCCCAUCGCCAAGCGGGAGCUGCUCUACAUGGGCU